UUUCAUUCAUCCUGUGAAACUUUAUUCCUCCUUCACUCCUGCCACGCUUUUAUUUUCAGGUUUGAGCGACCAGCUAACUAUUAAAAAAUCAUCUUUCUUUCCUUCGCUGCUGUCCAGGAUCCAUCAUCUGCACUUGAUUGUUACGAUUAAUGACUGUAUGUCUAUGUCUUAUGUAUAUGAUUUGUAUACUGUAUAUAUGUUUGCACUGUACAUAUAUACACACAAACUCACCGGAGCACUAAUAGCAAACGUGUGGAUGAAUAAACAAUGUACACACACUGUUUUCACUCUUUUUAGUGGCCAUUUUUGUCAUCUUUUCAUGAAAUCUGCUGCACUGUCUGUCCCAAAUUACUCUUUUAUUUACUUUACGACUUCUCUGACUGCUCUUUUCUUUUAUUUCACCUGCAUUUUGUUUUAUUACUCCUGUUUCUUCCUCAUGUUUCCUCUGUACUUUUACUUCUUCCUCUAUAUUUCUUCGUUUUUCUCUCCUUUCAUCCACCUCUCUCAUGGUGUUCUUCGUACCGUUCAGGCCCGGAGCCUCCAACCGACAUCGUCUUCACCGAGGUGACGGACAACUCUCUGACGGUGUCGUGGACCAAACCAAAGACUCCAGUCAGCGGAUUCAAGGUCACCUACACCCACGCUGAGGAGGGUGAGCCGGUGUCAGUGUCCGUGGACUCGGACGACUCCAGCGUCGGCCUCUCGAAGCUCACGCCCGGAUCUUCCUACGAGGUCAGCGUCAUCUCCAUCCUGGGACUGGACGAGAGCGAUCCACUCAAAGACUUUGUCAUGACACUGCCUGACUCUCCGACAGACCUGCGGGCCGUGAACGUCACAGACAGCCAGGCCUUGUUGUUGUGGCGACCAGCGUUGGCCACCGUCGAUAAAUACGCCAUCGUAUAUGGCGCCG